rnacentral:rRNA from 1 species
UACGUAGGGGCAAGCGUUGUCCGGAUUUAUUGGGCGUAAAGAGCGUGUAGGCGGCCUGGCAAGUCCGCUGUGAAACUCGAGGCUCAACCUCGAGACGUCGGUGGAAACUGCCUGGCUAGAGUCCGGAAGAGGAGAGUGGAAUUCCUGGUGUAGCGGUGAAAUGCGCAGAUAUCAGGAAGAACACCCGUGGCUAAGGCGGCUCUCUAGUACGGUACUGACGCUGAGACGCGAAAGCGUGGGGAGCGAACAGG